ensembl:rRNA 5S_rRNA 5S ribosomal RNA
GCUUACGGCCAUACCACCCUGAACACGCCCGAUCUCGUCUGAUCUCGGAAGCUAAGCAGGGUCGGGCCUGGUCAGUACUUGGAUGGGAGACCGCCUGGGAAUACCAGGUGCUGCAAGCU